rnacentral:sRNA from 1 species
CGUGUCUUUAUACCCCGUGCUUUACGA